rnacentral:rRNA from 1 species
GAUGAACGCUGGCGGCGUGCCUAAUACAUGCAAGUCGAGCGAACAGACGAGGAGCUUGCUCCUCUGACGUUAGCGGCGGACGGGUGAGUAACACGUGGAUAACCUACCUAUAAGACUGGGAUAACUUCGGGAAACCGGAGCUAAUACCGGAUAAUAUAUUGAACCGCAUGGUUCAAUAGUGAAAGACGGUUUUGCUGUCACUUAUAGAUGGAUCCGCGCCGCAUUAGCUAGUUGGUAAGGUAACGGCUUACCAAGGCAACGAUGCGUAGCCGACCUGAGAGGGGGGUCGGCCACACUGGAACUGAGACACGGUCCAGACUCCUACGGGAGGCAGCAGUAGGGAAUCUUCCGCAAUGGGCGAAAGCCUGACGGAGCAACGCCGCGUGGGUGAUGAAGGUCUUCGGAUCGUAAAACUCUGUUAUUAGGGAAGAACAAAUGUGUAAGUAACUAUGCACGUCUUGACGGUACCUAAUCAGAAAGCCACGGCUAACUACGUG